AGCAGCGUGGCUCAGUGGAAAGAGCCCGGGCUUGGGAAUCAGAGGUCAUGGGUUCGAAUCCCAGCUCUGCCG
rfam:Ornithorhynchus anatinus chromosome 2, whole genome shotgun sequence.